CAUUUUCGUGCAAGAAUAUCCAACAUAAACUGAAAUACCAUAGCUCAGUACAAGUUAUGAGAAAAAAAAUAAUAAUAAAAACAAAAUGAAACAAUACACACAAAGUACACCCAUACCCAAUCAAUAAAUUCAUGGUAAAGCACUGUAACUGACUAUGCAGAGAAUUGUUCAAUCUCAGACACCUUAAUCAUACAAAUUUAAGGACAAUCUUCAUAGCUCAUAUCUUUACAAAGAAAUGUCAGCAAAUAAUACAAUGUAUGUAUCUAUAAACAACUCCAAACAGAAAGCAACGAUAUUUCAACCUCUGCAGAAUGUGGGUGCACACCAAUCCAACAAACUAUAACCAAAAAUUUCUCCAAUACGAAUGGCUGAUCUAUGUUGAAAGCCCCCAUGACCUCCAUAGUAAAAGAGAUAUCCCAAACCAUUAUCAAAAUUUUCCAGUAAUUUAUUUCUUUUGUACUUCAACUAUUGGAGACUUCCACCGAUCGUCCAUAUUGUUGCAGCAAGGGGGUGAAAACAACUAAGAUGAGCGAAGGGUUUGUUUUUUGCUAAUUUAGCCAGUAGAGAAGUCCUAGCUUGAAGUGUCAACUUCCUUCCCGUGGUCUUCAUCAUGAAUAUUUCCCCUUAACCUUCUUAGCCAUAUAUCGUAAUCAAUUGGAUAUGGUGUUCCACAUAGACUGUCUACAUAAUCAGCAAAUGCUUUCAACACAGUUGAGACAUCACCAAGCUUCUGCUGAAUUAAUCUCCUUGACCAAGAGGUCUCUCGCCAUUGCAGUGCCCCCUCAACUGAAUCCAUAUCAGGCAAAGGACCACCGCAGGAAAAAUAAAGCAUAUACACCAGGCUCUCUGCAUCCGAAGCUGAGCACAACUUUCCCUCUUGCAGAGCAUAAGUUGAAGAGUAGUGGAGAUUCAUGGCAGGACGAUCCCUGUCUUCAAGAAUAGCAUGACCCCAGCCAAUAAGAACGAAAAAAGGAUGCCUUGCACCAGAUCUCACACAAAUUACAUUCUCUGGCCUGAUAUCUCCAUGCCGAAUGCCAGCAGAAGAGGCAAUAGCAAGUGCUGAUAAGCAAUCAUGACAACACCUGAUAGCCUCAUCCAAACCAAACCUGCUGGCACUUACCAUAUCAGCAACUGUUUCACCAACUGGGCUGGUCACAAGAAUUGGGGUACCACACCAAGGGUGAUCACAGUUUCCACCUAAGCUGGGUUUCCGACACUGGCCAGGGUGAAUAAUCCUGCCAGAAGCACCUAACUGUGGUAGAUAUUUGCUAGAUAGACCUUUCUGUCUCAUAAUGGUCAAUAUCUUAGUCUGCCUUUGAACUUGAUACCAUAAAUUCAUAUCCUCCCAUGCUGGCUCCAGUUGAGAAGGAUGGGAACCAACAAAAAGGAAUAGGGAUUUACCUGGAUCUUCAACAGGAGAUGCAAUGUAAUACCGUAGUUCUCCAUUAUACAGGACAUCAGCAAUCUGAUAACCCCUUCGCUGGUCUGAAUCCUCCAACCAUAAUACAGACCCUACAUCCAACUUCAUUAUUAAACCUUCGGACUCGACUUUGAUGGAUUCAUCCUGAACUUCAACAAUUUCAGGAGAUCCACUACGAUGCUGAAACCGAAAGAGACCAUUUCCAUUGACUCUAGUAUCCCCUAACUGCCGUUCCACUCUUCUUGUUUGUAAGCGAGAACCAUGAUCAGCUGCUAAAUCUUCAAUUGAAUGCUUUGGCAUCCCAGCAAAUUGCAUAAUGCAGUGGAAUGUUGCAAAAAGUACCUGUAGAGCACCAAUAUCUCCCCAGUUGGCAUUUCCAAGCUUGUUCCAGAUCCUAUCAAUCGGGGAGACUGAGACUCUACAAUGUUCUUUUAUCCACUCUGCUGAACACUCAUAAACAUUUUUCACAUCAAAAUCCAUUUUAUUUACAUCUCCUUCAACUUUAACAACCCCACCAUAUUGAGAAUCAACAAGAAGAAGAAAGACACAGUUUGAAGACUCAGAAAAGCUCAAUCUGCUUAAGCUUCUUGAUAAUAGCAUGCGUACAGCAUAGAAGAGAGCCUCACCUAAAACAGAUAAUGAAGGCAGCUGAUCACUUCCCAUAGAAAGGCUUCUAAUAUCAGGCCUCAAAAGUGCCAGUUCAAGAAUUUGGUUCCAUUUUCCAUGUGGAUGUCUAGGGUUGUUCAGCAAUAUACCAGUAGCACAAAGUCCUCCAAGCUUUCCAUUAGCUAUUGCUUUCUCAGCCUGGUAGAAUUUUAAGUUUGCAUUGUAUAGACAGGCAAUGGAGAAAGGCAUGGGAUCAUCCUCACUCCAAAAUGCUUCCCACAGACCCUUCACACUUGCAUGUAGAAAAUCUUCAAUAGCAAGAUAAGCAGUUGCUUCCACAGCAUCAGACGUUGAACCAUACAUAGCAUUGGGCAUCCGAAUUAGCUGCUGAAAUGAAACCCCUUCCAAUGCAUAGUCAAACUUUUGAAGUUCUAUCAACUCAAAUGGGACAUCAAAUGCAGAUUUUUCUGCUGCUGACUUCUCCAAUAUGGAUUCAAACCAGUCCUCAAGUUUGGCAGUCAGAAUUUCACUGUCCACAAACCUAUAGAAAAACUCCUUGCGGUUACGAGACUUGCCAGAUGAUACACUAGACCUUUUUGUCCCAGAUCCUACAGAUUCUUGGUCUGGGGAUCCACCUUCCAUGAUAUGGAGUUUCAGAGCUGAAGAUCUUCUCGGUAGAUGAUGCCUUAACUGAGUACAAGACUUGAAGCUUGCGCUUUGAUAAAAAGGAAUAUAGUUUGGAUUUGCAUUCUUUUGUAUAUAUGUAUGCAAUUUUUGCUUAGGAUCGUUGGAAGAGGACUCUGCUAAACAAUGGCUAUCUUCAGCUAUAGGGAUGUUGUAGUUGUAGAUUACAGAUAAAAUACAAGUAGUGCGUGGAAAUUUCGAGUUUGAAAAACAAUGGAAGUAAGAAA
rnacentral:misc_RNA from 1 species